UACAGAGGGGGCAAGCGUUAUUCGGAAUUAUUGGGCGUAAAGGGCGCGUAGGCGGCUUUUCAAGUGACGGGUGAAAUCCCUCGGCUUAACCGAGGAACUGCCUGUCAGACUGGAAGGCUUGAGACCGGGAGAGGGAUGUGGAAUUCCAGGUGUAGCGGUGAAAUGCGUAGAUAUCUGGAGGAACACCGGUGGCGAAGGCGACAUCCUGGACCGGUAUUGACGCUGAGGCGCGAAAGCCAGGGGAGCAAACGGG
rnacentral:rRNA from 1 species